GGUGGGGGGGUAACCAACUAUGUGUUAUUACAAAAGCCUCCUCUCCUGACUGAAUAAGGACCUGCAAGCUGAAUGUGUUCCUCAGACAGAAUGCUUUGUUUAUAACAGGGGAAUGAAUGGAGGCAGGCAGAAAGAAGCUCUGUUCCUACUGCCAUGUGAUCUUACACACUGUGUGGAGACUCUAUGGCAGAAUUAUGGUGGAUAUCAGGAGGAGGUGGAGAGGAAAGGUGGUGAUAUCAGGAGGAGGUUGAAAGGAAAGGUGGGGAUAUCAGGAGGAGGUUGAAAGGAAAGGUGGGGAUAUCAGGAGGAGGGAGGGAGGAAAGGAGGGGAUAUCAGGAGGAGGGAGAGAGGGAAGGUGGUGAUAUCAGGAGGAGGGAGGGAGGAAAGGUGGGGAUAUCAGGAGGAAGGAGACAGGAAAGGUGGGGAUAUCAGGAUGAGGUAGAGAAGAAAGGCAGGGAUAUCAGGAGCAUGUAUUUACUUUUUUUUUUUUAAAUGUUAUUUUUAAUUUAUAAAAUAAAAAAAAUUCAGCCCCUGUCCCCGCAGAAGGCCUUUUGCCUUUUGGUAGGCUGUCAUUGUAAAUAAAGAUGUGUUCUUAACUGACUUGCCCAAUUAAAUAAAGGUUAAAUAAAAAUAAAUGUCGAGAAAAAAA
ensembl:lncRNA